CUCUAUAAGUAACCUUAAUACGAUAGCUACUUGUUAGUGAUUGUUUCCAACAAGUCUUGCUAGCUCUCAUCUAUAUAUAAAGAAUUUAAACUCAGAUAAUUUUAUGCCAAGGAUCGAUUUACAGAUAAAUUAUCUUUGCUUAAGGAAUAUAGCUCCAGAAGCCAUAAUCAUGGAGAGCAUAGCUGGUCUACUUUUCAAGAACUCCAACUCUUGGUUGAGCCUAAGGAUCUCGUCCAUUUGGCUC
rnacentral:lncRNA from 1 species